UACGGAGGGUGCAAGCGUUAAUCGGAAUUACUGGGCGUAAAGCGUGCGCAGGCGGUUUGUUAAGUCUGCUGUGAAAUCCCCGAGCUCAACUUGGGAAUUGCAGUGGAUACUGGCAAGCUGGAGUACGGUAGAGGAAGGUGAAUUCCCGGUGUAGCAGUGAAAUGCGUAGAGAUCGGGAGGAAAACCAGUGGCGAAGGCGGCCUUCUGGACCAGUACUGACGCUCAUGCACGAAAGCGUGGGGAGCAAACAGG
rnacentral:rRNA from 1 species